rnacentral:lncRNA from 1 species
GAGAAAAAUAAAGAAAUAUAUAGAUAUAUAAUUAACAAUGCUUUGUUGGUAUUUUACACUAUGUAUUCAGUUAUGGAAUAUCGACUUUAAAUAAAACUUUGCCUGAUUUGAAUUGUAUUGAAUCUGGGAAUAGUAUAUCUGUCAAUAUAUAUGUUUCUGAUUGAAUUGAUCGACCAACCAUUGACACUGCCUCCAUGAACGCCGAUGUAAAGAUAAAUAGAAAAGACAAACAUGCACGUGCAAUUUUACUGCUAAUGACGA